UACGUAGGGUGCAAGCGUUAAUCGGAAUUACUGGGCGUAAAGCGUGCGCAGGCGGUGAUGUAAGACAGUUGUGAAAUCCCCGGGCUCAACCUGGGAACUGCAUCUGUGACUGCAUCGCUGGAGUGCGGCAGAGGGGGAUGGAAUUCCGCGUGUAGCAGUGAAAUGCGUAGAUAUGCGGAGGAACACCGAUGGCGAAGGCAAUCCCCUGGGCCUGCACUGACGCUCAUGCACGAAAGCGUGGGGAGCAAACAGGAUAGAAACCCCGG
rnacentral:rRNA from 1 species